rnacentral:lncRNA from 1 species
UGGAGUGUUUGAAGUAGAUAGUAUGAUAGCUAUGCAAGCACAGAUCUCUGUGCUUUCAAAGAAGUUGGAUUCGGUGACAGCUGUGCGAACUCAAGCACAAGCACAACAAGUUGUGGCAAUAAUAUGUGAGUUGUGCACAGGAGAGCACCCAACGGAUCAAUGUGCGAUUAAUCCAGCAGCUGUGCAAUUCAUCGGCAAUGUGACACCCCCAAAUCUGGUACUUCCAUUUUCACAGGAUUUGGUGUUCACUGUACAAACAUCAUCUAUCUAUCUACCCAUAAC